rnacentral:rRNA from 1 species
ACGGAUAUCUCGGCUCACGCAUCGAUGAAGAACGUAGCAAAAUGCGAUACUUGGUGUGAAUUGCAGAAUCCCGUGAACCAUCGAGUUUUUGAACGCAAGUUGCGCCCGAAGCCUUUUGGCCGAGGGCACGUCUGCCUGGGCGUCACACAUCGCGUCGCCCCCAAU